ACGGCUCAAAUUAAAAGGGGAAUGUUAUAAAUAAUCGCAUUCACACCCAACCCCAAACCCUAGCCGCCAGAACCCUCGCUGGAGAAGACAACCCAGCUACCGGAGGAACUGGCUGCCGCCACCAGCCGCCACACCGAAAGAUUUUUUGGCCGCCAAACAAGGUAAAAUUUCUCUCAUUGGCUCGUUUUUGGAUGCUGAACCUCCCUGUGGCCAAAUCGGAGCCAAGCCACCGAUCAAUUGGCCGGAAAACAGUGCCGAAGUCCAGCGGCGCCGCCGCGGGUUUUCUCGGUUUUUGCCUCCGAUGAGGCCCUUCCUGGUUCCCGUUCCAUGUAAUUUUUAUACCACCGUGACCACCGUUUUUUUCUCUACAGGUUGACCAGAGCAAAACACCAAAUCGCAACUCACGCUGAAGGAGCUGCCGCACCCGAGAGC
rnacentral:lncRNA from 1 species